rnacentral:rRNA from 1 species
GAGGAAUAUUGCGCAAUGGGGGCAACCCUGACGCAGCGACGCCGCGUGAGUGAGGAAGGCCUUCGGGUCGUAAAGCUCUGUCAAAGGGAAAGAAGUGCAUGGUGGCUAAUACCUGCCAUGUUUGACGGUACCCUUAAAGGAAGCACCGGCUAACUCCGUGCCAGCAGCCGCGGUAAUACGGAGGGUGCAAGCGUUGUUCGGAAUCACUGGGCGUAAAGGGCGCGUAGGCGGUUUGAUAAGUCAGAUGUGAAAGCCCACGGCUUAACUGUGGAAGUGCAUUUGAAACUGUCAGACUUGAGUAUCAGAGGGGAAAGUGGAAUUCCCGGUGUAGAGGUGAAAUUCGUAGAUAUCGGGAGGAAUACCGGUGGCGAAGGCGACUUUCUGGCUGAAUACUGACGCUGAGGCGCGAAAGCGUGGGGAGCAAAC